rnacentral:rRNA from 1 species
CUCAGCGACCAUGCCGCAUAGAAGGCCCCGGUUCUCGUCCGUUCACCAAUAGCUACGUUGGGCCCUGUUGGUACUUGCACAAGUGACUUGCUGGGAAUACUGGGUGUUGCUGACC